CUAUCUUUUAACUGUCCCAACAGCGGAGGUGAAUGCUGCUCGCUGCUAGAGCUCCUGCGUACUCUGCUUGCUGCUAGAGCGCCUGCGCAGAGUUCCUGCACCGAGUACUUUCGUUUUAAGUUGUUGUAGCUACAAUAAUAACCCUAAGAAGAUUUGUGGAUCCAAAAGGAAGAAAACUUUUGUGGCUACCAAGUCAUUUUGAAGAACCUUCUCAGUGACACAUAUUUAAGGGCCCAGGUGAGACGUGGUUCUGCUAUACAAAACCUGAAGGAUAUCAAAUGCCAGUGGAAAAAACCCCGUCAGUCCCCAGCCUCUGGCAUUUGUGAUGGUGUUUGAACAGUGACUGGUAUAUACACCCUCUUGUCCCACCACUCUGCUCCUCUGACAUAAAGCUGGCAGGUGAAGAUGCAUGCCCAGGCAGGAAACUCCUGACAGCCGAAGGUCUCUCAGAAGAGAUGGCUCACCAAAAAAAUGGGAGCACCAAAGUCACUCGCAGACUGAGGAAGGAUGGUGACUUUGAAACCGGAAGAAGUCUCAGCGAACAUAUUCACACCUUUGCUGUUUCAAGUGCUGAGGAGACAAGAACACGUCUGACAUGUGAUCUGACCGCUCUAAUGAAUAGCCAUGGGGUGAGAUGCUUCGUGAAGACAGUGUCUGAAGGUCACAGCUGCUACUGAAAUUUCUUAAACACCUUAGUAUAUAAUUAUCACAUGAGCCACACAUUGAACUCCUGGAUACAUACUCAUGAGAAAUGAAAAUCCUGUCUCUGUACACAGACCUAUGCAUGGCAUACUGGGGGUAUACAGCAUUUGUUUAGCAUGGACUGAGAGCCCAGGGUUCCCUGAUAGCUCAGCAAAACCACAGGUGUGCCACUCAUGACCUUAACCAACAUCCACAAAUAAAGGACAUCUACUAGUCAGUUGAUGAACAAGGGGAGGGUUAUCUGUUCACUGGAAAAAUGUAGAGUGAUAAAGACAAAUGAAUCAUUUGAGACACAUUAGGGUACAAAGAGUCAAAAGCACGGUAUCUGAAGGGUCAUAUCUUCCUUCCCUCUACAUAUAUGAACAUUCCACAAGAGGCAAGCUCAUUGGUGCAGAAAGCAGCUCGGGGUUGCUGGAGUAGAGAAGGGCUAGGUGGGGUGUAUAAAAUGGUUGCUGAUGGUUAGGGCCUUCUUCUGGGGUGAGAAAACUCUGCAAUGGGAUGGUGGAAGUGGAUUAAAAAUGCACUAGCUCGAUUAAGAACUUUGCACCGCUGAGUCAUAUGGCUUUUGAAUGAUCUCCCAA